rnacentral:rRNA from 1 species
AUUGAACGCUGGCGGCAGGCCUAACACAUGCAAGUCGAGCGAGCGGCGGACGGGUGAGUAAUGUAUGGGGACUGCCCGAUAGAGGGGGAUAACUACUUGAAACGGUGGCUAAUACCGCAUACUCUCGGAUAACCCAUAUGGGAUUAGCUAGUAGGGGUGGUAAAGGCUCACCUAGGCGACGAUCUCUAGCUGGUCUGAGAGGAUGAUCGUCCAAACUGGGACGGAGAAACGGCCCAGACUCCUACGGGGGCAGCAGGGGUGAAUGUUGCACAAUGGGCGAAGGCCUGAGGCAGCCAUGCCGCGGGUAUGAAGAAGGCCUUAGGGUUGUAAAGUACUUUCAUCGGGGAGACGUUACCCGCAGAAGAAGCACCGGCUAACUACGUGCCAGCAGCCGCGGUAAUAU